rnacentral:rRNA from 1 species
ACGAACGCUGGCGGCGUGCUUCACACCUGCAAGUCGCACGGAAAGGCCCUGCUUUUGUGGGGUGCUCGAGUGGCGAACGGGUGAGUAACACGUGAGUAACCUGCCCUUGACUUUGGGAUAACUUCAGGAAACUGGGGCUAAUACCGGAUAGGAGCUCCUGCUGCAUGGUGGGGGUUGGAAAGUUUCGGCGGUUGGGGAUGGACUCGCGGCUUAUCAGCUUGUUGGUGGGGUAGUGGCUUACCAAGGCUUUGACGGGUAGCCGGCCUGAGAGGGUGACCGGCCACAUUGGGACUGAGAUACGGCCCAGACUCCUACGGGAGGCAGCAGUGGGGAAUAUUGCACAAUGGGCGGAAGCCUGAUGCAGCAACGCCGCGUGCGGGAUGACGGCCUUCGGGCUGUAAACCGCUUUCGCCUGUGACGAAGCGUGAGUGACGGUAAUGGGUAAAGAAGCACCGGCUAACUACGUG